UACGUAGGGGGCAAGGCGUUGUCCGGAAUCAUUGGGCGUAAAGCGCGUGUAGGCGGCCAUGCAGGCUCCGUUGUGAAAACUCGAGGCUCAACCUCGAGACGUCGAUGGAAACCGCAUGGCUAGAGUGCGGUAGAGGAGAGUGGAAUUCCCGGUGUAGCAGUGAAAUGCGUAGAGAUCGGGAGGAACAUCAGUUGCGAAGGCGGCUCUCUGGACCAGCACUGACACUGAGGCACGAAAGCGUGGGGAGCAAACAGG
rnacentral:rRNA from 1 species